rnacentral:lncRNA from 1 species
UAGGGAUUUUUGAAAAAGCACUUAAAGCCUCGUCGGCGAUUUGGAUUCCCAGUUUCUUUAAUUAAAAUUGUAUUUUUUCAAUCCUUUGGUGAGAGGUGCUGGGAAUUCUUUUAUUGAGGUCUCCGUUGGUGUGCUGGAAAUUUGGGGCACGUGAAGAUUUUUGUUUGGAAAAACCUCAAAAGAUUAAUUUGAUUUUCGUUAAUGGCCAGGCUGAAAGUUGUUUAAUGGACCCUUUUGCAUGUUAAAGGGUGUUCCGGUAGUACAAAAAUUGUAUGUGUUUAUCGAUCCUGGGGCUUUGAAGAAGUUAUAAUAGAAGUACAUUUAGAAGAUUGCAGUGUGUUUCUCCAGGCAAAUGGUUUGUUAUUGAGGCAAAAAAAGGACGGUAACAGAUUUUAUUUUAUUUUAUGGGAGAAAAUAAGAAGGAACAAGGUACAAUUUAGUUUGGGUUAAAUGGGUCUAAAAAGGGGACUAAAAUAA